rnacentral:misc_RNA from 1 species
GCAGAGAUCUCUCCUUCUAAAGCUUUGAAGUUGCGGUCCGAUAGCGCUCCAAAGGCGGUAUACACAUGCCCACAGAGAAACAGAAAAGAGAGAGAAUAAAAAAAAGAGAGAUAAAUGGAAGGAAACAGGAUAGUGGGUGUGGCGGGGGGUUUCUCGACGUGCAGCAGGAAAGCUCUAAAAUGGGCGGUGGAUAACCUGGUCCGCAACGGUGAUCACCUUAUUCUCGUUACCAUACGCCCCGAAGGGAACUAUGAGGAGGGAGAGAUGCAACUCUGGGAAGUCAGCGGUUCCCCUUUAAUCCCCCUACAUGAGUUUUCUGAUCCCGUGAUUAUGAAGAAGUAUGGAGUGAACCCUGAUCCAGAAACCCUGGACAUUGCGAACACUGCUGCCAACCAGAAACAGGUUGUUGUGGUUAUGAAGAUCUUCUGGGGUGAUCCUCGCGAGAAGAUAUGUGAAGCUAUCGAUAAGGUCCCUUUGAGCUGCCUUGUUAUAGGAAACAGAGGGCUUGGCAAAAUUAAGAGGGCUAUAAUGGGCAGCGUAAGCAACUAUGUGGUGAAUAACGGAACCUGCCCUGUUACAGUUGUGAAGCAGACCGACCAUUAAAGGUAGGUCUUUUACUCUGUUACUCCACGAGGAAUAAGGCAUAUAGGAUCUGUUUUGCUGAACGGAAUCCUAUCUUCCGUAGGAUCUACCCUACAAAUAAUUGUGUUGCUUGCAACUCUCUGUCAAAUUGGACAAGUUUCCUAGUAUGGAUAUUGAUGAAGUUAGCAUAAGUGAGCACUUACAAUGUAAUCCACUCGUUUUCGCAACGAGAUUAAUGGUUCUAGGUGUAAUCAUUCCUGCAGAUUCUAAUAUUGCUAAAAU